rnacentral:ncRNA from 12 species
AAGUACUUUUGUAACUGACGGAAUACAAGAUGGGGACAUCGUGGAGCAAAAGUAUGAAAAUGAGCCGACCGUCUGGGCAGUGUUU